CGAGAAAGCCCGCAAGGGUGAGUAAAGCGGCGCACGGGUGCGUAACACGUGGGUAAUCUGCCCUGGAGUCCGGAAUAACUCGCCGAAAGGCGUGCUAAUGCCGUAUAAGACCACGGGAGCUUCGGCUCCUGCGGAAAAAGAUGGCCUCUGUACACAAGCUAUCACUCCUGGAUGAGCCCGCGGCCCAUCAGCUAGUUGGCGGGGUAAUGGCCCACCAAGGCUACGACGGGUAGCUGGUCUGAGAGGACGAUCAGCCACACUGGAACUGAGACACGGUCCAGACUCCUACGGGAGGCAGCAGUGGGAAUCUUGCGCAAUGGGCGAAAGCCUGACGCAGCAACGCCGCGUGUGUGAUGAAGGUCUUCGGAUC
rnacentral:rRNA from 1 species